rnacentral:rRNA from 1 species
ACGUAGGGUGCAAGCGUUAAUCGGAAUUACUGGGCGUAAAGCGUGCGCAGGCGGUUUUGUAAGUCAGAUGUGAAAUCCCCGGGCUUAACCUGGGAACUGCGUCCGAUACUGGGAGGCUUGAAUCCGGGAGAGGGAUGUGGAAUUCCAGGUGUAGCGGUGAAAUGCGUAGAUAUCUGGAGGAACACCGGUGGCGAAGGCGGCAUCCUGGACCGGUAUUGACGCUGAGGCGCGAAAGCCAGGGGAGCAAACGGGA